AUUCAAGGCACAGACGUGUCUGUUGUGUUCUGGAUCUGCCAAGAGACAUCGUUGCCAUUUCUCUGCCACUUCUAGCUCCAUGAGCCCCUGGGCUACUUUUCUGCCCAUUUGUUUCCUCAGUUAUAGGAGGAAGAUGAUGCCUUCUGCCCACCCCAAAUCCCAGAACUUUGACCAAAAGAGAUCAAGGUGGGAAAGCAUUUUGGAAGCUGCAAUGACUUGGAGAUGUGCGUGUCCUUUCAGCAGUGAAAGGGGAUUAAGAGAAGCUGCCGCCAUGGGCUGGAGUCUGACCUGGCAUCACCUGGACAAUGGCUGGCAUUUGUGGGGCUAUCCAGCUGACCUCUUCUACCGCGUGCCAGAUCCUAGCACACAGGCAGCGCGAGUUCCAGGCGCACAAGCCAGCGAAGAGGCAGCGGCGGCCUCUGAAAGGAACCCCGGCCGGAGGAAAGAGGGUCGUGUUACAGCUCCCAAGAAGGCGCGCGUCGGCCAGCAGCAAAAGCUUAAGAAGAACCUAGAAGUCGGGAUCUGGAAGAAGAUCGAACAUGACGUGGUGAUGAAAGCCAGCAACAGCCUGCCCAAGAAGCUGACACUGCUGAAGGCCCCGACCAAGAAGAAAGGGGAGACUGCUGCCACCUCCUCCAACAACCUUCCUGACAGGACGCUGGCCCCAGCGCAGGCCAGCAUCGCAGCCCCCGCCUCCAUGAUAGGACCUUGCAGGUGAUCCCACAGGCUGCACUGUCAGGAAGAGGACCCUGCUCCCCAGCACUGGGUCUCACCUAGAACUUCACUGGGAGCCUGGCCCUUGGGCAGCAGAUCCUAGGGUGCUGAGAACCCAGCAAUGGCCGGGAAGAUAGAGUCACCAACUUCAUCUGCCCCUGUCCCCCUUCCCAGGUCCUACCUUCACAGGUUCAACCCAGAGCAAUAAACCUGGGUUUAUCAUUUAAAAAAAAAAAAAAAAAUCCAGCUAACAUGUCACUUCCUUCGUGAAGUCCUCUCUGAUCCCUCCAGACAGAUUAGUCUGGUCCUUCCCUCCAUCAUCUGUAUUCCCACAGCAUUCUGUUCAUUUCUCUGUCAUAGCACAGGGACAUAUAGACAGACAGCUAAAGACGCAGCAAGCUGUUUCCCAUUAGACCGGCAGCCUCUGGAGGGCAGAGACGACCAUGGGAUGCCGCGGUGUUAGCACUGCCUCUGGCUCCCAGAAGACGUUUGGUGAGGGGUGACUGAAGCAAUCAACAUGAGGAUGAAUGAACUCCAGGAUGUAUUGUAAAGUGACUUGAAUUUUGAUUCCCAUUUGUUCGAGCCUGCCAAGGCUUAAAUCGCGUUUGUUGGAAUGUGAGAAAAGGAGGAAGAGUGGUAAUUAAAUGUGCUUGAUAAAACUUCUUUAUUUUGUGUUUGGAAUAAAAAUGGGAAGCUUGAGAUAAAACAGUGCUUGUUUCAGUGCUGAACAGGCUUCUCCAAGCAGGGCCUCGUGUCUAAGUGUCUAAUCUUCCCCUCCAAGUGGGGAGGGUGGCACCAGGCUGGGCACUGUCAUGGGGGGCAUUAUAAG
rnacentral:lncRNA from 1 species